rnacentral:rRNA from 1 species
UGGGGAGCAAACAGGAUUAGAUACCCUGGUAGUCCACGCCGUAAACGAUGUCGACUUGGAGGUUGUGCCCUUGAGGCGUGGCUUCCGGAGCUAACGCGUUAAGUCGACCGCCUGGGGAGUACGGCCGCAAGGUUAAAACUCAAAUGAAUUGACGGGGGCCCGCACAAGCGGUGGAGCAUGUGGUUUAAUUCGAUGCAACGCGAAGAACCUUACCUACUCUUGACAUCCAGAGAACUUAGCAGAGAUGCUUUGGUGCCUUCGGGAACUCUGAGACAGGUGCUGCAUGGCUGUCGUCAGCUCGUGUUGUGAAAUGUUGGGUUAAGUCCCGCAACGAGCGCAACCCUUAUCCUUUGUUGCCAGCGGUUAGGCCGGGAACUCAAAGGAGACUGCCAGUGAUAAACUGGAGGAAGGUGGGGAUGACGUCAAGUCAUCAUGGCCCUUACGAGUAGGGCUACACACGUGCUACAAUGGCGCAUACAAAGAGAAGCGACCUCGCGAGAGCAAGCGGACCUCAUAAAGUGCGUCGUAGUCCGGAUUGGAGUCUGCAACUCGACUCCAUGAAGUCGGAAUCGCUAGUAAUCGUGGAUCAGAAUGCCACGGUGAAUACGUUCCCGGGCCUUGUACACACCGCCCGUCACACCAUGGGAGUGGGUUGCAAAAGAAGUAGGUAGCUUAACCUUCGGGAGG